CACCUUAAAGGGAAGAAAUAAUUUCAAUCAAUAAUUAGAUAGACUAAUAAAUUCUUUUCAUUGUUCUUUUACACAUGUAAACAACAAUCUAAGGCCACUUAAAAAUUAAAGUCAUUUCAUCAUUAGUAAAAAGGUAAAUUCCAUCCCCAUCUAUUGACCAUUUGCAAGAUGCAUUAGCACAUCUAUUUUGGUCUACUGAAGGAUCAAACAGCACAAAAUUUCCAUGCAAAGUUCCAGAACUCAUUUGACAAGAAGCAGUUGGAUUAGGAGCACUUGUGUCAAUAGGGAAAGUAAAAACAAGACCAGUACCGACGUUGCUUUUGCUAAUGUUGUGUCCUUGGGCUGUGCAUUGGAUAGAUAGUGGAAAAGCCAUUUUACUACCAACUUCUACUUGGUAAAUUGUAGCUACGGAAGAAGUUAAAAUUUGUAGAAGGACGAGAAUUGGAAGAUAGAAUUUGAAGGAAUUC
rnacentral:lncRNA from 1 species